UAAAAUUAAGAAAAACAAUAUUUUUGCAGUACAAUUUUUACAAUGCAAAUUUUUGUCUAAAUUUAUACUUUUUUAACAUUAUGCCAUCAAGAUUUUAUUUUCUCUUCUUUUUUGUUGAAGAGCAGCCUUUUCAAUUUGAUAAUUAAAAAAAAAAAAAUUUAUUAGUCGUGUAGCCCCCUUCAACAUUUUCAACAAAAAAUAUCUUUGCUUUUGGUCCAGUAAUCCAGGUUGUAGGAUAUUGGAAUAAUCUUUCUAGUCUUUUCAUUUUUGCUUUCCAAAGGUCAGUAACAUUUAACAAAUUUGGCAUGAUCUGUACAACAUGUGAAGCACCUUUUCCUCCAAAACCUUGUGCAGCAGUCAGAACAACAGAUACGUCACAUCAGGACGACAUGACACUUGUCACUACAAUGAACCUGAAUGAUAGAAGUCGACGUGAAAUCAAAAACAACCCUAUUUAUUUUAUUAAAACGCUUUGUUGGUGCUGUUGUGACAUUCCAAUUUGAAUAGGAAACUAAACAGCUAGAUUGCAACCUGUUCUUGCCAAACAGUAGCUUGAUUAUUUUCCACUUUUCACUAUCCAAUCCAUGUUUGAUGGAUAAAAUCAAGCCGGACCCUGCAUUUUAUUUGGGUUUACUAUCUUGUUUCACUCUUAAAUGUCACAGUGUGGAAGUAAAUGGGUCGCAAUGCAGUUUCAUGUCGACUUUGAAGAGCAUCGGAUAGCAGUCAUUAAACUCCUAAUGUGGUGUGUGAUUGAAAGGGCAUUAGAUGAACAUUAAGAGUGAGAUUGUGAAGAAAUAUGAGAUCGGUCAGCAUCUGCUGUUGCUUAAGCUUUAAACACUACUGUGAAAGAUUUUAUUUUGUUGAAAGAAUUAGUCACUAUGUCUUUUUUCAGUUAUAUGUAGAGAUCUUUUAAAGAAGCCUGCUUAUGUUUAUUUUUUUAUUUGCUUUUAUGAAUGUAUAAUACACAAAUGUCAAUGAGUAUACAAUGUUUUAGUUUUUUAACUGUUAAAGAAUAUGCUUCGAAAGCCUUAGCUGUGCAUUUUAUAGCCAAGAUGAGCGUGUUAUUAGGAGUAAAAAUGUCAAAUGAACCGAUGUUAUAGGCUGUCUCAGCAAAGCAGGCCAAGUCUGAUCUAUAAUCUGAUAUAUAAUGUCUGAGCAUGGCAUUUUUCUAAAUCAGAUUUGAGCAAUUAAGAUGAGAGUUCAGUAGGACGUCACACUACAUGUAUGAGGCGUUAAUGUAAAUAUGUGAACACUGAUGUAAAUAAGCUUUUCUCUUGAGCAUGAACAUCAUCAGAUGGGAAUAUUGCACCCAAGUUAAUAUUACAAUAAUAUUAUUGCCUUUGUAUGCAUGACAGAUUCCACAUUCAGCGUUCAGAGAGAGGAAGAGAUGAGCUAUGAAUGAGGAAUAUGAAAUAAUUCCUGUAACACUAUAUGAGUGUGUGUAAACACGUGUAAGAAAUACACAAGAUGUGCUCCUAUUACUCUACUGCUAAUACACUUAACAGAAUAUCAACCAGUCUGUAUUAUUAUUAUAGACAAUAAAUCCAGAUAAAAUAAAUUCAAUGUGUUUUUAUGUGAUUAUUUUGCCUUUCGACAU
ensembl:lncRNA